rnacentral:rRNA from 1 species
UGGCGAACGGGUGAGUAACACGUGGGUGAUCUGCCCUGCACUUUGGGAUAAGCCUGGGAAACUGGGUCUAAUACCGAAUAUGACUGGUCUUUAGUGUGACUGGUGGAAAGCUUUUGCGGUGUGGGAUGAGCCUGCGGCCUAUCAGCUUGUUGGUGGGGUAAUGGCCUACCAAGGCGUCGACGGGUAGCCGGACUGAGAGGUCGAUCGGCCACAUUGGGACUGAGACACGGCCCAGACUCCUACGGGAGGCAGCAGUGGGGAAUAUUGCACAAUGGGCGCAAGCCUGAUGCAGCGACGCCGCGUGGGGGAUGACGGCCUUCGGGUUGUAAACCUCUUUCGCUCACGACGAAGGGUAACUGACGGUAGUGAGAUAAGAAGCACCGGCUAACUACGUGCCAGCAGCCGCGGUAAUACGUAGGGUGCGAGCGUUGUCCGGAAUUACUGGGCGUAAAGAGCUCGUAGGUGGUUUGUCGCGUCGUCUGUGAAAUACCGGGGCUUAACUUCGGAGCUGCAGGCGAUACGGGCAUAACUUGAGUGCUGUAGGGGAGACUGGAAUUCCUGGUGUAGCGGUGAAAUGCGCAGAUAUCAGGAGGAACACCGAUGGCGAAGGCAGGUCUCUGGGCAGUAACUGACGCUGAGGAGCGAAAGCAUGGGUAGCGAACAGGAUUAGAUACCCUGGUAGUCCAUGCUGUAAACGGUGGGCGCUAGGUGUAGGGGUCUUCCACGACUUCUGUGCCGUAGCUAACGCAUUAAGCGCCCCGCCUGGGGAGUACGGCCGCAAGGCUAAAACUCAAAGGAAUUGACGGGGGCCCGCACAAGCGGCGGAGCAUGUGGAUUAAUUCGAUGCAACGCGAAGAACCUUACCUGGGCUUGACAUACACCGGACCGGGCCAGAGAUGGUCUUUCCCUUGUGGCUGGUGUACAGGUGGUGCAUGGUUGUCGUCAGCUCGUGUCGUGAGAUGUUGGGUUAAGUCCCGCAACGAGCGCAACCCUUGUCUUAUGUUGCCAGCACGUCGUGGUGGGGACUCAUGAGAGACUGCCGGGGUUAACUCGGAGGAAGGUGGGGAUGACGUCAAAUCAUCAUGCCCCUUAUGUCCAGGGCUUCACACAUGCUACAAUGGUCGGUACAACGCGUUUGCGACAUCGUGAGGUGAAGCUAAUCGCUGAAAGCCGGCCUCAGUUCGGAUUGGGGUCUGCAACUCGACCCCAUGAAGUCGGAGUCGCUAGUAAUCGCAGAUCAGCAACGCUGC